GUGGGGAAUCUUCCGCAAUGGACGAAAGUCUGACGGAGCAACGCCGCGUGAGUGAUGAAGGUCUUCGGAUUGUAAAGCUCUGUUAAUCGGGACGAAAGAGCCUAGUGUGAAUAAUGCUAGGAAGUGACGGUACCGGAAUAGAAAGCCACGGCUAACUACGUGCCAGCAGCCGCGGUAAUACGUAGGUGGCAAGCGUUGUCCGGAAUUAUUGGGCGUAAAGCGCGCGCAGGCGGAUCUGCCAGUCUGUCUUAAAAGUUCGGGGCUUAACCCCGUAAUGGAUGGAAACUACAGAUCUAGAGUAUCGGAGAGGAAAGUGGAAUUCCUAGUGUAGCGGUGAAAUGCGUAGAUAUUAGGAAGAACACCAGUGGCGAAGGCGACUUUCUGGACGAAAACUGACGCUGAGGCGCGAAAGCCAGGGGAGCGAACGGGAUUAGAAACCCUGGUAGUCC
rnacentral:rRNA from 1 species